CCUACGGGAGGCUGCAGUGGGGAAUAUUGCACAAUGGGGGAAACCCUGAUGCAGCGACGCCGCGUGAGUGAAGAAGUAAUUCGUUAUGUAAAGCUCUAUCAGCAGGGAAGAAAAUGACGGUACCUGAGUAAGAAGCCCCGGCUAACUACGUGCCAGCAGCCGCGGUAAUACGUAGGGGGCAAGCGUUAUCCGGAUUUACUGGGUGGAAAGGGAGCGUAGACGGCAGUGCAAGUCUGGAGUGAAAGGCGGGGGCUCAACCCCCGGACUGCUCUGGAAACUGUACGGCUGGAGUGCAGGAGAGGUAAGUGGAAUUCCUAGUGUAGCGGUGAAAUGCGUAGAUAGUAGGAGGAACACCAGUGGCGAAGGCGGCUUACUGGACUGUAACUGACGUUGAGGCUCGAAAGCGUGGGGAGCAAACAGGAUUAGAUACCCGAGUAGUC
rnacentral:rRNA from 1 species